GAUGAACGCUGGCGGCGUGCCUAAUACAUGCAAGUCGAGCGAACAGAUCAGGAGCUUGCUCCUCUGACGUUAGCGGCGGACGGGUGAGUAACACGUGGAUAACCUACCUAUAAGACUGGGAUAACUUCGGGAAACCGGAGCUAAUACCGGAUAAUAUAUUGAACCGCAUUGUUCAAUAGUUAAAGACGGUUUUUCUGACACUUAUAGAUGGCUCCGCGCCGCAUUCACUAGUUGGUAAGGUAACGGCUUACCAACGCUACGAUGCGUAGCCGCCCUAAGCGGGUCAUCCGCCACCCUGGAACUGAGACACGUUCCAGACUCCUACGGGAGGAAGCAGUAGGGAAUCCUCCGCAAUGGGGGAGUGCCUGACGGAGCAACGCCGCGGGAGGGAUGAAGGACUUCGGACCGUAAAACUCUGUUAUUAGGGAAGUUCAAAUGUGCAAGUACCUAGGCAGGUCUUGACGGUACCGAAACAGAAAGCCACGGCUAACUCCGUG
rnacentral:rRNA from 1 species